rnacentral:lncRNA from 1 species
UUUUUUUUUUUUUUUCUUUUCUUGGUAUGAACUUUGUUGUAUUUGUUGAAGUUUGUAUGUUUUGUGGUUUCUAAUUCCCAUUGGUGCACUGUACAAUGGGGUGUGUAGUGUCAUGAAGAAAAAUAAUACACAGAUACUUUAUGAAGUGUGUUUUAUUUUUAAAUGACUGUAGUGUUGACAAUAUAUUGAUUUAUUAAGAUGUGAAGGGAAAAUUCUAAAUUUACCAAAAUGUGUAUAUUUUAAUAAAUGCAUAAAGCUUUAUUGUGUGCCUUUAAAUUUAAAAAUGGGUUUAUAAAGCAAGUCAGAAACAAAAGUGUCUUACCAUAAAAUAUCCAUAGUAAUGUAAAUUCUUACAUAGGAGAUGACCAAAAGGAAAAAAAAAAAAAAAAAAGGAGCUUUCCCAUAUUUUGUUAACCUCAGCCAGUACCUGAAGUCUGCUACUUUUUUCCAUUCUAAAAUGGAGAUAAAUAAGUGAAUCUUGCCUUAAAUGUUUCAAUUGUCCUUUGUAGAAAAGCCAGAAAAAUGAGCUCAUUUUUUGGAACAAAUUGCAUUAUUGUGGAAACUUCAUUUUCAAAAUAAAAAAUAUUUUAAAAAUUACAGCUAAUCGACUAUUAAAAUUUAAAUUUGAAGAAAGCCAGUGCCAUUAUCUUUUUAAAUUCACUUUACUUCCAUGAAGAAACUAAAACUUCCACUAUAGCAGACUCAGGAGAACAUGAAGUGAUUCUGUCUCCCUCUCACCACAUUCUUCUAACAAAGUACAGGCUUCUACCUAGGACCCUGCUCACCAUGCUGCCUUGUGAGCUACCCCAUUUCCAGUUCAAGCUCCUGGUCACAGCCAUACACCCCUCCACCCUUAGCACCACAGAAUAUAUGUCAUCGUCCCCAUUCAUUUUAUGGACAAAUUGCAGGAACAUAUCCUGCCUAUAAUCUUAAACCCAAUUAAUGACAUUAGCAUUCAUUUAUUUUACAUUUUGAUGGUACAGGUGGCACAGCAGGUUAAGGAUCUAGCAUUGCUGCAGCUAUGAGGUAGAUCAAAGCUGCGGCUUGGCUUCAAUCCCUAAUGCUGGAACUUCCAUAUGCCUCAGGUAACAGCUGGAAACAAAAAGGUAAUAAAUAGUCAAAGCUAAUUAUUUUACCUCGUGUAACUGUUACCUAUGCUUUUGAAGUUAUUAAAACUCUUAUAUCUGUAUGGGAAAAAUACUGUAUAAUGAUAUAUUAUUCACAUCUCUUCCCAACUCCGUGUUCAGUGAGUUCACAUUGGUAACUUGAAAUUGGCCAUGGGUGAAGUAUUUACAUCGUGCAAACUGGCAAAUGCUGCAAAAUCAGGUUUAUUUGUUUGUUUCCCAGAAAGCUGUCUAUUAAACAUUUAUAAGCACACCAUAGCUUAUAUCCUUUUCCGCUAAGUAUACCAUAACCCCUCUCACUCCUAUCACACCCCUGCCCACAGAGCAGGGAAAAGUCUGAACAGGUAUUUUUCCCUCUCCAUCUUUCCUCUAUUUUUCCUCCCCUUCCCACCAUCCAGCAGGACCAGCAGGGGCUUUCUACUCUUUGUUCAGUCUGACAAGUAUUCCCUAACAUAUUACCCUCCUUCCUGGAGGCAAUAAGCCUGGUAAUUUAGUUUUACUGGUGGGAGAGUUGUCUAUUUGUUGUUGUUGUUUUGGCUUUUGAGGCCGCACCCACGGCACAUGGAGGUUCCCAGAAAAGUUCAAAGACCUUUAAAAAAAAAAAAGAAAGAAAGAAAGAAAGAAAUUUAAGAAAUUCCCAUAUUCCAAACAUUAAAUUGACCACAAUUACACAUUUUAUUCCCUUCAGCAGUUCACUGACUGGCAGAGGGGGUCCUUUCUGCAUCAAGUUCCCUUCCUCUCCUUAACCCACAUGAACCUACCUGAGGACGGCUUUCUUCCAUUCUCAUAUUGGGCUCAAUCAUAUCAAGAAAAACCCUCAGCUGGAGUUCCCAUUGUGGCUCAGCUGUAACGAAUCUGACUAGUAGCCACGAGGCUUUGGUUCGACCCCUGGCCUUGCUUAGUGGGUUAAGAAUCUGCCAUUGCCAUGAGCUGUGGUGUGGGUCGCGGAUGCAGCUGGGAUCCUGUGUUGCUGAGGCUGUGCUGUAGGCCAGCAGCUACAGCUCCAAUUUGACCCCUAAUCUGGGAACUUCCAAAAGCCAUAUAUGUGGCCCUAAAAAAGAAAAAGAAAAACCUCAGCUAUGAGGCUCAGAGAGAAAAGUGCACAUACUCCUUUCUAUGAAUUUGAAUUCUCCAACCUUUUAUUACAUACAAGUGUAAGCCUGAUGCUUACCCAUCAGAGCCAUUUAGAGUGUUUUCAGGAAGGGAUGAGCCCUCUGGAAGUCAAUUAACUGGAUGAGUACUAUGGCAGGCUUUCCCUCAGAGAAGGGAAAUACAAAUGAUUUGUGACUCUAAUUAACUUCAAACACAGCAACAGGAAUAUAAUUUGGAACAGAAUGCAAAGAGGAAAUAGUCCAUCCAAAUUUAAUUCUAGUGACUGGAAGACUGUAAAUGAAUUUCCUUCCUAGCAGAAAAACUCCUCACAGGGCAGGUGGGGAGGGGGAAGAGGGGUUCCUAACAAUAGGGUUUCCCUGUUCUCUGAAGCUCUGUGUUCAAAGCAGCCUGUUUAGUGGACUGGAAAUAAGUUCAAGGUGUGCAUACAAUGUCCUCAACUUUCUCACCCAGUCUUGUCAAUCUUGUACUUAAAGAAGGUGGAGAUUAGGCUAACCAACCUUGGUGGAAGGGCGUGGGAAGAUGUGCUGUGAGCUUUGAGGACCGGCGGAGGAAGGGCACCUCUGCCCUAUCUGCUCCCUGAUGCCCAAAAUGCCUCCACUGGAAACAAAGUCUGGCAUUCCUCAGUAAGAAAGAGAUCUUUAAAUGCCUUCAUGGUUAACUCCCUUUGGAAGAAGAAACACAGUGUCUUAAUGCAUCCACAUUGAGAUAUGAGUGACUGAUAAUCAGUUCCUUCCCAGAAAGUAGGUUUUCACAAGUCAUGAGAAAAGAUUGUGAGGUCUCUGAAUGCCUGAGGGAGGGCUGGGGCUCCAGGAGGAGAAAUGGCUCAGAGGCAAGAGGCCGGGGCCCCAAAGACACACUUGGUCCCAUUCACUUCACAACCUUGCCAAAAGUUAGGUCUAAGUACAGAAGACAUCAUAAAUCAAUUCUGAACUGAUGCCCUCAAGAUCACUCUGAAGGGAGAAAUGGCUAGUGGCGUGCAAAGAGGCUUGCACUGCAAGAGAGAAACCUAUAUUCCAAUCCUGGCUCUCCACAGCCAGACAUGUAAAACUGGGCAAGCCACUUCCCCUGUUUUCUCAUCUGUAAACAAGUUGACCCAUGAUUUCUAACUUUCCAGAUCACUGCCAUGUCUCUCUUGCUUCCUGCCACACCUUGGCCCCUGUGCAAAACCUGGGAUGCAGGAGGCAUUCAACAAAUAUUUGUUGAAGGAAUGGAUUAACAGAAAGUAAGUAUUCUCCCUUCAUCCAGAGGCCCUCCCUAUGCUUUUGCCAAAGUGAAGGACAAUUUCAAUCACUCUAUUUAAGUAUUUGAUAGCUCACAUCUCUGACAGAUUUUAGAUCCUUUGAGCACUUUAAGAAGUUGAUCCUAAGAAAAUAAAAAAUCUUUGGUCAAAGAUUUAUGCCAAAGAGUAUCUCUAUAAUUACAGGAAAAAAUACCCAAAAAUAUGGAAUCAACCUAAUAUCCAAAACUGGAGGUUGUUUAAAUAAACUGUAGUGUAACUUUAUUUCUCAAUACUGCACAAUCAUAUAAAAAGUUCUUCAGGUAGGAGUUCCCAUUGUGGCGCAGCAGUUAACGAACCCAACUGGGAACCAUGAGGUUGAGGGUUUGAUCCCUGGCCUUGCUCAGUGGGUUAAGGAUCUGGCGUUGCCCUGCGCUGUGGUGUAGGUUGCAGAAGCGGCUCAGAUCCCGCGUUGCUGUGGAUCUAGCAUAGGCCGGCGGCUGCAGCUCUGAUUAGACCCCUAGCCUUGGGAACCUCCAUAUGCCAUGGGUGCAGCCCUAGAAAAGGCAGAAAGACAAAAAAAAAAAAAAAGUUCUUCAGGGAGUUCCUGUCGUGGCUCAGCAGAGACAAAUCCAUGAGGAUGCAGGUUCAACCCCUGGACUUGCUUAGUGGGUCGGGGAUCUAGCAUUGCCAUGAGCUGUGGUAUAUGUCCAAUUCGGCCCCUUGACUGGGAACUUCCAUAUGCUGUGGGUGGGCCCUAAAAAGCAAAAAAAAAAAAAAAAAAAAAAAAAAAAAAAAAAAAAAAAAGUCUUCAAAGAAUGUUUCAUGACACAAAAAUCUUAGUUAAUUAUGUUAAAUUUUAAAGAUGCAGAGAUUAUACGUAUAUUAGUUUUGAAAAUAUAUGCAUUUUUUAUAUGCACACAGAAAACUAUUCAGGAGGCUAUAUUAUUAACCACUGUUUCCUCUAAGAAGUCUGAUUUGGAGUGGUUUUACAUUUUCUUCUUCCAUACCCUUUCUGUUUAUUCUAAAUGUUCUUCAAAACAUAAUUUAUUUUAAAAAAUAAAAUGUAAUUAAUGUUCAUUUCCUAUGACAUAAGGACUUUUUCAAAUUUUUGCCACGUCCUAAAUGGCAAACUAACAAGGCACCUUGACACCUCCUUGCCCCAAGUAAUGACACAAAUAAUAGCCAUCCCCUCAAAGCCAUACAUACCAUAGACAGAUUUCUUUCCCUACAUUGUCACAUUAAAGGUAAGAUGCUUAUAUUCCUUCAGCAGAAGGAAUCCAUACUCAAGGGUGUUCAUAAGCUUGGAUACUUAGCUCACAUAUGCAUUGUUAAGUAUUAAAUACCCAGGGUUAAUUUGUUCCAGAUGUCAAGGAUAUCAAAAAGACAUCACACUGUUAAACGAUAAAUGCAGGUAUUUCCAUAUUUAGUUGCUAAUAUUCAGCUUAAUCCCUCUACAAAGUAAAAUAUAUACCAACAUAUCUUUCUGUUGCCUUGGGGAUACUCCCUGUCACAAAGAAUAUGGUCCUUAAUCACUUGUUUAAUUAGAUUGAACAGAAUUUCACCCACACCUGCAAAAAUGUAAUUAUUUUCCAAAUGUACAUGUUGCUCUUGACUUAUAAAUGAAAUACAUCCUGCAAUAAGGUCAUUCCUCUACUUAAAAUCUCCAGUGGCUCCCACUUACCAACAGAACGAAGCCCUUCACAGCCUGCAUCCCACCCACCUCCCCUAGAUGUCCUGUAUUCUGACCCCA